CGUUGGUAGUGGUGAAGGUUACGCACGUGCUUUUAUUGGUACUACGAUUGUUGUCAAUUUUAGUGAUCUUUUUCAUAGUGAACUAAAUUGAAAUCUUUUAAUUUUGUGUUGUGUAAUUGUGUGUCUACUAACAACUAAAAACUACCGCAAAGUUAAAACUCGACGGUGCCCUAAUUUGCCGUCACCACUCGACA